UACGUAGGUGGCAAGCGUUAUCCGGAAUUAUUGGGCGUAAAGCGCGCGCAGGUGGUUUCUUAAGUCUGAUGUGAAAGCCCACGGCUCAACCGUGGAGGGUCAUUGGAAACUGGGAGACUUGAGUGCAGGAGAGGAAAGUGGAAUUCCAAGUGUAGCGGUGAAAUGCGUAGAGAUUUGGAGGAACACCAGUAGCGAAGGCGACUUUCUGGCCUGUAACUGACUCUGAGGCGCGAAAGCGUGGGGAGCAAGCAGG
rnacentral:rRNA from 1 species